rnacentral:rRNA from 1 species
GUGAAAAGCCCGCUCGCCGGAAGACCAAGGGUUCCUGUCCAACGUUAAUCGGGGCAGGGUGAGUCGACCCCUAAGGCGAGGCCGAAAGGCGUAGUCGAUGGGAAACAGGUUAAUAUUCCUGUACUUGGUGUUACUGCGAAGGGGGGACGGAGAAGGCUAUGUUAGCCGGGCGACGGUUGUCCCGGUUUAAGCAUGUAGGCUGAUUGUCCAGGCAAAUCCGGAUAAUCAAGGCUGAGGUGUGAUGACGAGGCACUACGGUGCUGAAGUAACAAAUGCCCUGCUUCCAGGAAAAGCCUCUAAGCAUCAGGUAACAUUAAAUCGUACCCCAAACCGACACAGGUGGUCAGGUAGAGAAUACCAAGGCGCUUGAGAGAACUCGGGUGAAGGAACUAGGCAAAAUGGUGCCGUAACUUCGGGAGAAGGCACGCUGGUGUGUAGGUGAAGUCCCUGCGGAUGGAGCUGAGACCAGUCGAAGAUACCAGCUGGCUGCAACUGUUUAUUAAAAACACAGCACUGUGCAAACACGAAAGUGGACGUAUACGGUGUGACGCCUGCCCGGUGCCGGAAGGUUAAUUGAUGGGGUUAUCCGUAAGGAGAAGCUCUUGAUCGAAGCCCCGGUAAACGGCGGCCGUAACUAUAACGGUCCUAAGGUAGCGAAAUUCCUUGUCGGGUAAGUUCCGACCUGCACGAAUGGCGUAAUGAUGGCCAGGCUGUCUCCACCCGAGACUCAGUGAAAUUGAACUCGCUGUGAAGAUGCAGUGUACCCGCGGCAAGACGGAAAGACCCCGUGAACCUUUACUAUAGCUUGACACUGAACAUUGAGCCUUGAUGUGUAGGAUAGGUGGGAGGCUUUGAAGCGUGGACGCCAGUCUGCGUGGAGCCAACCUUGAAAUACCACCCUUUAAUGUUUGAUGUUCUAACGUUGGCCCCUGACCGGGGUUGCGGACAGUGUCUGGUGGGUAGUUUGACUGGGGCGGUCUCCUCCCAAAGCGUAACGGAGGAGCACGAAGGUUAGCUAAUCCUGGUCGGACAUCAGGAGGUUAGUGCAAUGGCAUAAGCUAGCUUGACUGCGAGCGUGACGGCGCGAGCAGGUGCGAAAGCAGGUCAUAGUGAUCCGGUGGUUCUGAAUGGAAGGGCCAUCGCUCAACGGAUAAAAGGUACUCCGGGGAUAACAGGCUGAUACCGCCCAAGAGUUCAUAUCGACGGCGGUGUUUGGCACCUCGAUGUCGGCUCAUCACAUCCUGGGGCUGAAGUAGGUCCCAAGGGUAUGGCUGUUCGCCAUUUAAAGUGGUACGCGAGCUGGGUUUAGAACGUCGUGAGACAGUUCGGUCCCUAUCUGCCGUGGGCGCUGGAGAAUUGAGGGGGGCUGCUCCUAGUACGAGAGGACCGGAGUGGACGCAUCACUGGUGUUCGGGUUGUCAUGCCAAUGGCACUGCCCGGUAGCUAAAUGCGGAAGAGAUAAGUGCUGAAAGCAUCUAAGCACGAAACUUGCCCCGAGAUGAGUUCUCCCUGAGACUUUAAGUCUCCUGAAGGAACGUUAAAGACGAUGACGUUGAUAGGCCGGGUGUGUAAGCGCAGCGAUGCGUUGAGCUAACCGGUACUAAUGAACCGUGAGGCUUAACCUU